rnacentral:rRNA from 1 species
UACGGGGGGAGCAAGCGUUGUUCGGAUUUACUGGGCGUAAAGGGCGCGUAGGCGGUCGUGACAAGUCACUUGUGAAAUCUCCGGGCUUAACUCGGAACGGUCAAGUGAUACUGUCGGACUAGAGUACAGAAGGGGCAACUGGAAUUCUCGGUGUAGCGGUGAAAUGCGUAGAUAUCAGGAGGAACACCGGUGGCGAAGGCGGGUCUCUGGGCCGAUACUGACGCUGAGGAGCGAAAGCGUGGGGAGCGAACAGG